rnacentral:rRNA from 1 species
UACGAAGGGGGGCUAGCGUUGCUCGGAAUCACUGGGCGUAAAGGGCGCGUAGGCGGCCUGAUAAGUAGGGGGUGAAAUCCUGCGGCUUAACCGCAGGGCUGCCUUCUAAACUGUCAGGCUCGAGCACAGUAGAGGCAGGUGGAAUUCCCGGUGUAGAGGUGAAAUUCGUAGAUAUUCGGAAGAACACCAGUGGCGAAGGCGACUCACUGGACAGGUAUUGACGCUGAGGUGCGAAAGCGUGGGGAGCAAACAGG